GCUGUGGAACUCCUACGGGAGGCAGCAGUGGGGAAUCUUAGACAAUGGGGGAAACCCUGAUCUAGCCAUGCCGCGUGAUCGAUGAAGGCCUUAGGGUUGUAAAGAUCUUUCAGUGGGGAAGAUAAUGACGGUACCCACAGAAGAAGCCCCGGCUAACUCCGUGCCAGCAGCCGCGGUAAUACGGAGGGGGCUAGCGUUGUUCGGAAUUACUGGGCGUAAAGCGCACGUAGGCGGACCGGAAAGUCAGAGGUGAAAUCCCAGGGCUCAACCUUGGAACUGCCUUUGAAACUCCUGGUCUUGAGGUCGAGAGAGGUGAGUGGAAUUCCGAGUGUAGAGGUGAAAUUCGUAGAUAUUCGGAGGAACACCAGUGGCGAAGGCGGCUCACUGGCUCGAUACUGACGCUGAGGUGCGAAAGCGUGGGGAGCAAACAGGAUUAGAUACCCUAGUAGUCCUACCACGU
rnacentral:rRNA from 1 species